rnacentral:rRNA from 1 species
CACUCCUACGAGAGGCAGCAGUGGGGAAUUUUGGACAAUGGGCGAAAGCCUGAUCCAGCAAUGCCGCGUGUGUGAAGAAGGCCUUCGGGUUGUAAAGCACUUUUGUCCGGAAAGAAAUCCUUGGCUCUAAUACAGUCGGGGGAUGACGGUACCGGAAGAAUAAGCACCGGCUAACUACGUGCCAGCAGCCGCGGUAAUACGUAGGGUGCGAGCGUUAAUCGGAAUUACUGGGCGUAAAGCGUGCGCAGGCGGUUUGCUAAGACCGAUGUGAAAUCCCCGGGCUCAACCUGGGAACUGCAUUGGUGACUGGCAGGCUAGAGUAUGGCAGAGGGGGAUAGAAUUCCACGUGUAGCAGUGAAAUGCGUAGAGAUGUGGAGGAAUACCGAUGGCGAAGGCAGCCCCCUGGGCCAAUACUGACGCUCAUGCACGAAAGCGUGGGGAGCAAACAGGAUUAGAAACCCCAGUAGUCCCAUGA